GACGAACGCUGGCGGCGUGCUUAACACAUGCAAGUCGAACGAGACGGAUUGGGAGCUUGCUCCUGACAAGUCGAGUGGCAAACGGGUGAGUAACGCGUAGACAACCUGCCGCAAAGAUGGGGACAACAGCCCGAAAGGGCUGCUAAUACCGAAUGUUGCGCCCCUCCCGCAUGGGAGGGGCGCCAAAGAUGGCCUCUGCCUGCAAGCCAUCGCUUUGCGAUGGGUCUGCGCCUGAUUAGCCAGUUGGCGGGGCAACGGCCCACCAAGGCGACGAUCAGUAGCCGGUCUGAGAGGAUGGACGGCCACAUUGGGACUGAGACACGGCCCAGACUCCUACGGGAGGCAGCAGUGGGGAAUCUUCCGCAAUGGGCGAAAGCCUGACGGAGCAACGCCGCGUGGGUGAAGAAGGUCUUCGGAUCGUAAAGCCCUGUUGCCCGGGACGAACGCCCCCGGCGCGAACAGCGCCGGGGGGGACGGUACCGGGCGAGGAAGCCAGGCAUUUCU
rnacentral:rRNA from 1 species